UACGUAGGGGGCUAGCGUUGUCCGGAUUUAUUGGGCGUAAAGAGCGUGUAGGCGGCCAGGUAGGUCUGCUGUGAAAACUCGAGGCUCAACCUCGAGACGUCGGCGGAAACCAUCUGGCUAGAGUCCGGAAGAGGAGAGUGGAAUUCCCGGUGUAGCGGUGAAAUGCGUAGAGAUCGGGAGGAAGGCCGGUGGCGAAGGCGGCGCUCUGGAACAUUUCUGACGCUGAGGCUCGAAAGCGUGGGGGAGCAAACAGG
rnacentral:rRNA from 1 species